UGGGGAAUCUUGCACAAUGGGCGAAAGCCUGAUGCAGCGACGCCGCGUGCGGGAUGAAGGCCUUCGGGUUGUAAACCGCUUUCAGCAGGGACGAGGCCGCAAGGUGACGGUACCUGCAGAAGAAGCCCCGGCUAACUACGUGCCAGCAGCCGCGGUAAUACGUAGGGGGCAAGCGUUAUCCGGAUUCAUUGGGCGUAAAGCGCGCGUAGGCGGUUUGUUAGGUCAGGAGUUAAAUCUGGGGGCUCAACCCCUAUCCGCUCCUGAUACCGGCAGGCUUGAGUCUGGUAGGGGAAGGCGGAAUUCCAAGUGUAGCGGUGAAAUGCGCAGAUAUUUGGAAGAACACCGGUGGCGAAGGCGGCCUUCUGGGCCACGACUGACGCUGAGGCGCGAAAGUUAGGGGAGCGAACAGG
rnacentral:rRNA from 1 species